rnacentral:rRNA from 1 species
GACAGACGAGGAGCUUGCUCCUCUGACGUUAGCGGCGGACGGGUGAGUAACACGUGGAUAACCUACCUAUAAGACUGGGAUAACUUCGGGAAACCGGAGCUAAUACCGGAUAAUAUAUUGAACCGCAUGGUUCAAUAGUGAAAGACGGUUUUGCUGUCACUUAUAGAUGGAUCCGCGCCGCAUUAGCUAGUUGGUAAGGUAACGGCUUACCAAGGCAACGAUGCGUAGCCGACCUGAGAGGGUGAUCGGCCACACUGGAACUGAGACACGGUCCAGACUCCUACGGGAGGCAGCAGUAGGGAAUCUUCCGCAAUGGGCGAAAGCCUGACGGAGCAACGCCGCGUGAGUGAUGAAGGUCUUCGGAUCGUAAAACUCUGUUAUUAGGGAAGAACAAAUGUGUAAGUAACUAUGCACGUCUUGACGGUACCUAAUCAGAAAGCCACGGCUAACUACGUGCCAGCAGCCGCGGUAAUACGUAGGUGGCAAGCGUUAUCCGGAAUUAUUGGGCGUAAAGCGCGCGUAGGCGGUUUUUUAAGUCUGAUGUGAAAGCCCACGGCUCAACCGUGGAGGGUCAUUGGAAACUGGAAAACUUGAGUGCAGAAGAGGAAAGUGGAAUUCCAUGUGUAGCGGUGAAAUGCGCAGAGAUAUGGAGGAACACCAGUGGCGAAGGCGACUUUCUGGUCUGUAACUGACGCUGAUGUGCGAAAGCGUGGGGAUCAAACAGGAUUAGAUACCCUGGUAGUCCACGCCGUAAACGAUGAGUGCUAAGUGUUAGGGGGUUUCCGCCCCUUAGUGCUGCAGCUAACGCAUUAAGCACUCCGCCUGGGGAGUACGACCGCAAGGUUGAAACUCAAAGGAAUUGACGGGGACCCGCACAAGCGGUGGAGCAUGUGGUUUAAUUCGAAGCAACGCGAAGAACCUUACCAAAUCUUGACAUCCUCUGACCCCUCUAGAGAUAGAGUUUUCCCCUUCGGGGGACAGAGUGACAGGUGGUGCAUGGUUGUCGUCAGCUCGUGUCGUGAGAUGUUGGGUUAAGUCCCGCAACGAGCGCAACCCUUAAGCUUAGUUGCCAUCAUUAAGUUGGGCACUCUAAGUUGACUGCCGGUGACAAACCGGAGGAAGGUGGGGAUGACGUCAAAUCAUCAUGCCCCUUAUGAUUUGGGCUACACACGUGCUACAAUGGACAAUACAAAGGGCAGCGAAACCGCGAGGUCAAAGCAAAUCCCAUAAAGUUGUUCUCAGUUCGGAUUGUAGUCUGCAACUCGACUAUAUGAAGCUGGAAUCGCUAGUAAUCGUAGAUCAGCAUGCUACGGUGAAUACGUUCCCGGG